rnacentral:rRNA from 1 species
GGUGAACGCUGGCGGUGUGCCUAAUACAUGCAAGUCGAGCGGACGGACGAUAAGAGUUUUCUUUUGCGGUUGGCGGGGGGCGGGUGGGUGAGACGUGGAUAGCCUUCUUCUUUUUCGUGGGGGACUUCGUGGGAACAGUGAUGCUAAUGGCGAAUAUGUUCUACGGGUGAGUUCAGUAGUUAUUGGGAGUUUUGGCGUCUCUUUGAGCCGAUGCCGGAUUAGCUAGUUGGUGAGGUAAAGGCCCACCAAGGCGACGAUCCGUAGCUGACCUGAGAGGGUGAUCAGCCACACUGGAACUGAGACACGGUCCAGACUCCUACGGGAGGCAGCAGUGGGGAAUCUUCCACAAUGGGCGCAAGCCUGAUGCAGCCACACCGCGUGAGUGAAGAAGGUCUUCGGGUCGUAAAACUCUGUUAUUGGGAAAGAAAAGAAGUAUAUGAAUAUACCGCUGUCCUGACGGUACCUAAAGAAUAAGCAACGGCUAACUUCGUG